AAAAAGGUACGAGGGGAGUGGCUCUCUUGAUACUCGGGAGAAGAAAAAAAAAAGAACCUUGGCAGCUCAACGCUGUGAAAACAAGAUGGUGCAGAAGGACCAAUAUGGGUUCCUUAACGUGACAUCAGGAUCUGUGCCCAAGAGGAUCCAGAGACUUUAGACACUCAGAUGGCAGAACAAGCACAGAGACAAAAGAACAAGGAAGGAAUACUCAAGACAACGGAGCAAGACCUUGGAGUUUGAUAAAAGCAUUGACUACCAUUUUCCCCUGCAGCCUUGAGGUGUUGUUUUUCUUCAGUGUCUGUACAAUGUACUCUUUCAUUUUAUAAGGGCAAGCUGGUCAGAAUUGAGUCUCCUCCUCUCCUCCACCUUGGGAUGUGACUUCUCAAGGAAAGAGUCAACCCCGGGAUGCAUUGCUACAAUGACUAACAUCGUAUAAGAAGAGACUGGCCCCUCUCAUCCUGAAUUGAAAUGAAGCCAGGAGCAAAUGGAAGGGAUGAAUCACUUCACAUAAGGAGAUUCUUCUUGAGGAAGGAACAAUACAGAAUCCAACAGAGACAGAAAAACCCAACAGACGCUGAAGAAGCAGUAUAGGGGAGAAAGAACUGAGAAAGUCUUCUGGUGCUUGGAAGAAACCAAAUCCAGCAGAGUCCAGCAGAGUAGAUGGAUCAUAGAAGAAAAAUAGCUAUGCUGAGACGUGAGAGAAGAGUUUAGAAUCUGUAUUCCAUUCCCUCCUGAGAUGAUUAGAGGAAAAGCUUUGUUGUGGGAGCUGACUGGGAGGACAGAGUUGCUGCUAGGAGAUGAUUGAAGAAAGCACCCUCAGCUACUUAACAGCCUCUGCUGGGCAAGGAAGUUUACCUUGCCCUUUACUACCUUGUUGUGUGUCCUUUAUUCUCAAAGAGGACCAAUGACAUCAGGAAGGUGAUGUCUUAACUUGAAAGUGAAUUGGAUCUAAGUGAGGCAGGGCUGUUCAAAAUCACCAGCCUUACUCUCUUCCUUUACUGCCACCUAGCACUUUGAAAGGAGGACACCUCUCCAAGGUGAGCCAAUAGAGAAGACUUGAGUAGCCCCGUAGGGAAACUGCUUUUGCUGAAAGGGUGUAAGAAAGACAUUUCUCCCUUUACACAAAUGGAUGGUGUAAGUAGACCAUUCUGUAGACCUCUUUGUAAAGCAAUUUUUAUGAAUGGAAAUUUGCCCACGGUUGUGGGAAGGGAGGGAGGGAGAGAAGUCGGAAGGAGAAUAUAUGCCUUGCCUUGGAGGGAGGAGGCCAGUGCAUGGUUCAAGGACAUGGGCCCAGGUACAGAAAAGCAAGAGCAGGAGGAGGAAAAACACGAGACCUGGGUCCAGCCACAUGGAAGCCAGACAGGGAUACAGACAAGAGAGGACAAGUGACAUGCAGUACCUGAGUGCAGACAGUUGGAAGACAGACACACAGGUUGGUGAGAGGAGUGGGGCAAAAGUCUCCUCUCUUUGCAUUGGAGGUCUCAAGCCAGGCCCCCCAAUCUGGCAGCAGCAGUGGUGGCAGUCUUUCCAUGCCUGGUUAUUCUGCUUUCACUUGGAGGACUUUGGUUUGGUUCAUUUUGUUUUGUUUUGGUUUGUUUGGUUUGGUUUUUUGGCAGGGAGAUGAGAGAGUGGGAACUAAGGGGGGGAGAGAGAGAGAAAGAGAGAGAGAGAAAUGGUAAAGUUAAAAUAGAUGGUUUUUUUGGAAUGAAGACUUUUUUAUAUAAAGUUGAAUUUGCAUAAUGUAAAUUUAUAUGAAGUGAGAAGUGUCUGUAUUGCCCUUGAUUAGUUUUGGUGGAAGAGCCAGGAACAAUUUGAUGAUGAUCCAGCAGAUGUUUGGCGGUGAAAACUGCUCCUUAGGGACAUAAAAGUCCAUACUCUAGAAGUGUGAGGUGCUCCAGGUGCCCCGGUUUCCUAGCUAUUCAUGUGCCUUCCUACUUACUCUCUGUAAAUUUGCUCCUAUUCUUCCCCAUAGACACUAUGUACAUUAGUGGGAGAGUGUGACUCAGGUAUAUUGGAGGACUGUUAUGUUAUAUUGUUUUGCAUUUUGUGUAGUAAAUGAUUCAUGAUUCAGAGUUAAUGGUGUCAUCUUGGCUUGUUUGUUUAAAUGGGAAGCAAACAGGUGAGGGAUUAGGAGUGACAGUUGCAUGAAGUAGAUGCAUGACUCCUCUAUGCUAGGGUUACCUUUUAUGACCCUGAGAAUGAGCUAUAGCAAUAUGGCCACUGCCUUCUGGGAAAACCCUUUGAACUUGCCGAUGUGAGUACAGGUGGAGUAAGUGAGCCAAACCGGAUAAAAAAGAGUUGGAAAUUUGCCCAGGAUGCCACAAUCAGGCCCAUGACCACAUCCAUGCUAGACUGAGAAUGGCAACAACCAAGUUUAAAGCAAAUAAAUUCUUGACUGAUGUUGGAAAAUAUAAAACACAUAUGAAAAGAUUAAUUUCUCUACAGCUGACUUCCCUGUAAGCUUCUCCUUCAUUUCAUGGGUUGCUUUUCACUCAAUGGACUUGGAAACCCCAACUUCAGUCAGCUUCUUCCCAAGCAGUUGGCAUCUCUUCAGCCUUUGGAAGAUUACAUUUAUUGUAAUGACAAAUUAAAGCUGAAUCUGGUAUAUUUAUGCUGCCUUUGUCCUAGAUGUUAAAAAUGGUGUUUUAAAAAACUAAUUUAUUUAUUGUAGUCAUGCCAUGAAGUGUAAAUAGGAAACAGAAAAACUUUUUUGGAAUCCUGACCAUCAGUGAAAAGACUUUCAUCCAAAGGUUGUUACAAAGAAAGACAUGGAAGAGAUUUCUCAGCCAGAAAAGGUACAUAGAAACAUUUCCUCACAAUACACUCCAUCUAUGCCUUUUUAUUGGCAGUUUCCUAUGCCUGGUAUGCUCUCCCUCUGGUUUCUCUUCCUUCCCCCUCAACCCUAGUCCUCCUCCUCCUCCUGACCUCAGUGCUUUACAGCAGAAAUUACCUUUCAUUUACAUUAUGUAUAUAUUAUGUGUAUGAUUUUUUGCCUAUCAUUUCCCCCAGUAGAAUGUAAAAUCUUUGAGGAUAGAAACCCUAUGUUUGUAUCCCCAGUGCUUAGCACAGCACUUAACUUGUGAUUAAAAAAUGCUUGUUGAGUGACUGAUUUGACAUUUUUUAUCUGAUGAUUGGGGUGGGCAGGGAAGGAGUAUGGAAGAGGGCAAGUAGAAAGUGGUAGGAAUUCCUACCUUCAGGAAAACUCCUGCCUUCUGGAGAGGUAUCAAGAAUUCCAGUGCUGAAAGUUGUGCAAGUGGCUGUAGAUCUGGAGGCCAAAGACAAAAGGAAGAAUCUCAAGACUGAAUUCUUCUUUCUGCUACUAUUAUGAGAUAUUCAUUUGCUUCAGAUCUGAUAAGGAGGUUGCCUUUAGCAACUCAAGUUCAUUUCUCUUCUAAGAGUAUUCCAAGCCCUUAGGAUAAUAGUUCUCAAAACUUUUGGUCUUAGAACUCUCUUACACUCUUUAAAAGUAUUUCUUUAUUAAUUAAAGAGCUUUUUGUUUAUGUGAUUAUAUCUUUUGAUAUUUACCAAAUCAGAAAUUAAAACUUAGUAUUAUUGUGAAAAUAAUUUUGACCUUGUGGACCUCUACUUUGAAAACUGUUUGCAUUAGGGUGUUACUUCAGGGUUUGAGACCUGUAUAGACUCCUAGGGGUAGAGAGAGGGGCUAACCAUAUUGUGAGAGCUUGCUCAUCCAGCAAAAAUCCGAGUUCAUAUUUCUUCUGAGGAGGAAUUUCAAACCAUUAGGAAAGGACUCCAAGGAGAGGCCUCUCUUUCCUCUGAGACCUAGGGAAGAAGAGCAUCUUGAUUGUUAUGGGAUCCUAUAAAUCCUUUGUGUUUUUUGGCAUUGUUUUACAAGUUCCUGUGAGUUCUUUGUGGGUCCUCACUCAGCCCAUUCUUUCUGUAUGAUGAAAU